CAUCAGCCACUGAAGAGCAUAUCACCGUUUCUUUCACCCCCUGUGAGCUUCCUGUUACUUGACUUCUGUGGAAGAUUCAGUUUGAUCUCUCCUGGUGUCACGACUGGCAUUAAUUCAUAUUGCUGUAAUGAAAAAUUCUAAGGAGCAAAUAAAAGGGAUUUGGUCUUUGAAGCUGUGUUAUAUGCUAACUGCAGCCACACUGUGGAAGUCACACCUCCUCAGAAAAAUAUACAGACUCAGGUCAUUAGGACAUCUUCCUGAAAUCUGACAUUCUAGGAGACGAGUCCAUCAAAUACAGUAUUCUACCCAGGCUAUGUCCACGGCAAGAAUUAGAUUUAUUUUCGCAGAAUUUGACUUUCUUGAG